UAGCACUGAACGUCUUGCCGACGUUGGCAAUUGGAGGGCACCAGCGGCAAAGUAUCGGGAGGGGAUUUUCCCCUGCACAACAAAAAACUUUGGUGGGUAAACCAUCGGCGGGCCGCGGGAUGAAUAGCCACUUUCAUGCACAACUCCGGAGAUCGGUGGAGGAACCGUGAUGAACCAUUUUGCCGAUCCCGCUUCUAUUUUUUUAAAUAAAUAAUAUCUGCGCAACCGUUGGUCCACAUCAAGACCUUCACGCGCGUGCACACGUUUUUAUGACGGUGCGCUAUGCGCGUGAGUGAUCUCAGCAUCGUCUACACUACAGCCUACAGCUAAGUCUACAGCAACGGACUCUGAGCUACAUACACCCCAAAGGCUCUUUUCAGAGCCCAGGCCCAUUUUGCACAGCGUCUUUGCCUUUGUACAUGUACUUGCCGCGUCAGCACACACGACGGCUGGAACUACAGUAUGGUCUUCCCAGUGGACCAGCACCACAUCCAUCUGGAUUGAGACGAGUAGGGGACAUCUCUAGGGUCUUCACAUAUUGAUACACACACCAUUGCAACUUGGAUCACCAUCACCACCACCAUCCCCUGCAUCAGACACCCUAAAUCGUGCCCUUCAUCAGACACCCUACAGUAAAUGCACCACAAACAACACAGGCAAAGAAGAAGAAAACGCACGACAAAUCUCCUCCAGCCCAUCCCACAUCAUCGUAUAGUAAAGUGACGCCGCCGGAUAAUAAUGACGGCCUGUGUGCUUUGCAGCCUUUUCCAGGGAUCCUUCAGAGGACUAACAAUGGUGCUGUGUUAAGAAAUCCUACCCAACAAAAUUCCACUGAGGCAGAUGUAGAGAUGACUGCGAGAAACUGGCUGCGGCUGAGGAGGGACAGGAAGCAAGAGGGCGAGCAUCUUAAAGUGAAAUAAUUGAUUGGACUGAUUUUUCCUGUUUACCUAUUUUGGAGGGAAUUUCUUUUUGUUGUUGUUGUACUUUUCUAUGUGUGAUUUGAUGAGUGUUAAAAUAAAUGAUACUGCUUUUGCAAAAACAAAAGUAAAAAAUAAAUGUUCAAGGUCA